GUUUGAGUCUAUGUAAAUUGUAGCUCACUCUUUGUAGUGUGUAUUCUUUAAUUUUGUCCUGUACGUCCUUGAUUUGGGUGUGCAGUGAUUCUGUCGGGGACGUUUUGUUUCUGGUGGUGAGGUCCGUCAGUUGAGUGUUCCAUUUUAUCCAUUGUGCCUGGGUGUCACGCUUGGUCCUCGCUGCUGUUUGGAUCAGCAAGCCUCUAAUGACUGGUUUGUGCGCCUGCCAUACCAUGUCUAUUUUAGUUUGCUCUGUAUUGUUCGUGUUGAAAUAUUGUGUGAUUUCUUCCUCUAGG